UACGUAGGGUGCGAGCGUUACUCGGAAUUACUGGGCGUAAAGCGUGCGCAGGCGGUUUUGUAAGCCCGAUGUGAAAUCCCCGGGCUUAACCUGGGAAUGGCAUUUGGGACUGCAAGGCUCGAGUGCGGCAGAGGAGACUGGAAUUCCUGGUGUAGCAGUGAAAUGCGUAGAUAUCAGGAGGAACACCGAUGGCGAAGGCAGGUCUCUGGGCUGACACUGACGCUCAUGCACGAAAGCGUGGGGAGCAAACGGG
rnacentral:rRNA from 1 species